AUUGAACGCUAGCGGCAUGCUUUACACAUGCAAGUCGAACGGCAGCGGGGAGUAGCUUGCUACUCUGCCGGCGAGUGGCGAACGGGUGAGUAAUGCAUCGGGACGUGCCCAGUAGUGGGGGAUAACUUAGCGAAAGCUAGGCUAAUACCGCAUACGCACUGAGGUGGAAAGCGGGGGAUCGCAAGACCUCGCGCUAUUGGAGCGGCCGAUGUCAGAUUAGGUUGUUGGUGGGGUAAAGGCCUACCAAGCCGACGAUCUGUAGCUGGUCUGAGAGGACGACCAGCCACACUGGGACUGAGACACGGCCCAGACUCCUACGGGAGGCAGCAGUGGGGAAUUUUGGACAAUGGGCGCAAGCCUGAUCCAGCCAUGCCGCGUGCGGGAAGAAGGCCUUCGGGUUGUAAACCGCUUUUGUCAGGGAAGAAACGCUCUGGGCUAAUACCCCGGGGUAAUGACGGUACCUGAAGAAUAAGCACCGGCUAACUACGUGCCAGCAGCCGCAGUAA
rnacentral:rRNA from 1 species